GUAGGUGGCAAGCGUUGUCCGGAAUUAUUGGGCGUAAAGCGCGCGCAGGCGGUUCUUUAAGUCUGAUGUGAAAGCCCACGGCUCAACCGUGGAGGGUCAUUGGAAACUGGAGAACUUGAGUACAGAAGAGGAAAGCGGAAUUCCACGUGUAGCGGUGAAAUGCGUAGAGAUGUGGAGGAACACCAGUGGCGAAGGCGGCUUUCUGGUCUGUAACUGACGCUGAGGCGCGAAAGCGUGGGGAGCAAACAGGAUUAGAUACCCGUGGUAGUCCACGCCGUAAACGAUGAGUGCUAAGUGUUAGGGGGUUUCCGCCCCCCUUAGUGCUGCAGCUAACGCAUUAAGCACUCCGCCUGGGAUACGGCCGCAGGCUG
rnacentral:rRNA from 1 species